UCUGCUGUAGUACUGUAGUAGUACGAUCUGCUGUAGUAGUACGAUUUGCCGUAGUACUGUAGUAGUACGAUCUGCUGUAGUAGUACGAUCUGCUGUAGUACUGUAGUAGUACGAUCUGCUGUAGUACUGUAGUAGUACGAUCUGCUGUAGUAGUACGAUCUGCUCUGUAGUACUGUAGUAGUACGAUCUGCUGUAGUAGUACGAUCUGCUCUGUAGUACUGUAGUAGUACGAUCUGCUGUAGUAGUACGAUCUGCUGUAGUAGUACGAUCUGCUGUAGUACUGUAGUAGUACGAUCUGCUGUAGUACUGUAGUAGUACGAUCUGCUGUAGUAGUACGAUCUGCUGUAGUACUGUAGUAGUACGAUCUGCUGUAGCACUGUAGUAGUACGAUCUGCUGUAGUAGUACGAUUUGCCGUUUUCUGAUCUUGACCGUAAGCAAGAGAAUAACAUACUAUUCCCCCGCUGUAGAGGGGUGUCUACAGAUCCACUGGAUUAAUGAAGGGGUGUCUACAGAUACACUGGAUUAAUGAAGGGGUGUCUACAGAUCCACUGGAUUAAUGAAGGGGUGUCUACAGAUCCACUGGAUUAAUGAAGGGGUGUCUACAGAUACACUGGAUUAAUGAAGGGGUGGAUUAAUGGAGGGGUGGAUUAAUGAAGGGGUGGAUUAAUGAAGGGGUGGAUUAAUGGAGGGGUGGAUUAAUGAAGGGUUGGAUUAAUGGAGGGGUGGAUUAAUGGAGGGGUGGAUUAAUGGAGGGGUGUCUACAGAUACACUGGAUUCUGACCUUGCCUUAAUUCCCCUCAUAAUUCUACCACCUUUACGUGCUCCUGUAGUACACGCCAGGAAACCAGGAAAAAGGUUGAGAGAACCUGCCAAGUGGAAAAAGCAUCUGCUUUAUUUAUUCCGGAUAGAGAAUGCUGUUAUUUCUAUACGCUGUCAUUUAAACAUGGAUAAGACCUAUGGAAAAUACCUAUUGUGGAUAAGACCUAUUAUGGAUAAGACCUGUUGUGGAUAAGAUCUAUUGUGGAUAAGACCUAUUGUGGAUAAGACCUGUUGUGGAUAAGACCUAUUGUGGAUAAGA
rnacentral:lncRNA from 1 species